rnacentral:tRNA from 1 species
GGACGCAUAGCUCAGUCGGUAGAGCAGCUGACUCUUAAUCAGCGGGUCCUAGGUUCGAGCCCUAGUGCGUCCA